AUUGAACGCUGGCGGCAUGCCUUACACAUGCAAGUAGAACGGUAACAGAUCUUCGUAUGCUGACGAGUGGCGAUCGGGUGAGUAAUACAUAGGAAAGGGCCAAGUUGUGGGGGAUAACUACUCGAAAGAGUGGCCAAUACCGCAUGCGGUCUACGGAUGAAAGCAGGGGAUCGCAAGCCCUUGUGCUACUAGCGCGGCCGUAGGCAGAUUAGGUAAGUGGUGGGAUAAAAGCUUAACAAGCCGACGAUCUGUAGCUGGCCUGAGAGGGCGAUCGGCCACACUGGGACUGAGACACGGCCCAGACUCCUACGGGAGGCAGCAGUAGGGAAUUUUGGUCAAUGGGCGCAAGCCUGAUCCAGCUAUGCCGCGUGCAGGAAGAAGGCCUUCGGGUUGUAAACUGCUUUUGUCAGAGAAGAAAUCCUCUAGGUUAAUACCCUUGGGGGGAUGACGGUACCUGAAGAAUAAGCACCGGCUAACUACGUGCCAGCCGCCGCGGUAAUAC
rnacentral:rRNA from 1 species